rnacentral:rRNA from 1 species
UACAGGGGGGGCAAGCGUUGUUCGGAAUUACUGGCGUAAAGGGUUUGUAGGUGGCUUGCUAAGUCAGACGUGAAAUCCCUCAGCUUAGCUGGGGAACUGCGUCUGAUACUGGCGAGCUUGAGUGCAGGAGAGGAACGCGGAAUUCCAGGUGUAGCGGUGAAAUGCGCAGAUAUCAGGAGGAACACCGGUGGCGAAGGCGGGUCUCUGGGCCGAUACUGACGCUGAGGAGCGAAAGCGUGGGGAGCGAACAGG